AUCAAAUGUCAGAAUAUGUUGCAUUGCAAUACCGCUUGCUUGCACUGUAUCGCUUUAGACGACAGAGACAUGAUCGUAUUGCUGCUGAAAUAGUUUAUUUCAGUCUGGAAAGUUACUAACAUAGUCCGUCUUUCGUAAUAGUUUGGAAAUAAGAGGUAAAAAUCCUUAUAAAAUGUUUCAUGCGUAUCGAAGAUAGUUUUCUAUGGCUUGUGAUGUUUCAUGAAGAUUUAAUUUCGUAACAAGUUACUAUAGCCAGUGUUCCGUGGAAAAUGUAAUCAAAAUUUGUGUAUGAUCCACGUCGAGACAUGGGUUCCAGAGUAAGAGACACCGUACGCUACAUGUUUGAAUUGUUUUGUGAAGUAUCACCUGGUGAUCAUACGAGAGAACCAUAUGUACUGAAAAAAUAUCCAGAAACAUAUAAAAAUGAAGAAGAGUUGAAGAACAUUCCUAAAUUUACAUUUCCAUGUCAGCUUGAAAAUUCAUUCGCACAACACUAUUCAUUUGUGCUGACUUCUGAGGACUCUAAAUAUACCUUUUGUUUCUGCCGAUAUGACCCCAAAACCAACACUGCACUAGUACUUCUAUCACAUUUGCCAUGGCACGACAUAUUUUACAAGCUACUGAAUUGCAUAGCGAAUCUAAUUAAUAGCCCAGAACGAGGGGAAUUGGCUUCAUUCUUAGAAGCUUGUCACAUACGCCCGCCUAUGCCGGGACAUACAUUAAGAGUAACUUACAACGCGGGCCAUAGUGUUUUCACUUGCCAGUGUCCGGACAGUAAACUCCCAAGUAUUCCGGAAAAUUGUAACUUAACGGAAUACUUUAGCGCAAUGGACACCAAAUGCAUGGCUGGGCUAUGGGCGGCGUUGCUCCAUGAGCGUAGAGUUGCUAUAGUGGCUUCGAAGCCCUCUAGACUAUCGGCGUGCGUGCAAGCUGCCAACGCUACACUCUUCCCCAUGUCUUGGCAGCACAUAUUCAUUCCCAUUCUACCUAAACACCUCGUUGAUUACUUACUGGCCCCAAUGCCGUUUCUUAUUGGAGUUCCUAGGAGUGUUAUGGAGAGCGUGAGGAUGUCGGAGAUCGGCGAUGUGGUAAUUUUAGAUGUUGAUGCAAAUGAACUGAAAACACCAUUCAAUGACCUGGAAGGAUUGCCCUCUGAUCUGGUGUCGAACUUAAAGAAAGCUUUAAGUGAUAAAAAUGCUCUGGGUGAUGCAGUAUCUCGAGCAUUUUUGCGCGCCCUAGUGUCUCUGAUUGGCGGAUAUCGUGACGCUAUUAAAAUUGAAAAUGGUCAGUUGAUUACGUUUAAUCCAGAAGCUUUUGUUCGAACUAGAAAAAAUAUGCAACCAUUCCUCACAAAAAUUUUGCAGUCUCAAAUAUUUCGCCAGUUCAUUGAUGAAAGAUUGGAUUUGCUCAACUCGGGGCGUGGUUUCAACGACGAAUUUGAAGUGGAAUGUAACCAUUACGCUGAUAAGCUAAAUACGGGGAGCGGCCAGAAGUUGAAACAGCAAUACAGAGACUGGGCCAAGACAGUCAAGAAAGAAGGCGGGGCCUUCUUUAAAACAGUCAAAGAUAAGGCGAACCCAGCUGUGCAAUCGGCGGUCAAAACGGUUCGCCAAGGAGGCAAGAACGUGAAAUCAGCGGUAAAAGGUCUGAAGAAUAAAAUGCCUAGGACCGGCUCACGUCCAUCGUCAAUCAAUACCACAGACGAUAGCAGGGCACGUGGAAUAUCGGCGUCGCUGGCUGAUAUAUGGAAAGGUUUUAAACAAGCCGCCUUAACGACACACAUUCAUACAGACAUUCUCUCUGGAGGAUGGCGCGGCGGAUAUACCAGUAGGCUCCUCUACCAGGAGCACAAGCUGUUUGCCUCGAACGCAGUUCUCAUGCGGGUCAGCGACCCCAGUGUCGUCGGAUUCGUCGGACUCUUCGCCGACGAACAACCCUUCGACGGAAAGGGCGACGACGACGCGGCCGACGCCAAGCCGGCUGUCUGUGGGCAGGCCCCAGCCGCCCCGUGAGCCUCCUCCUGCGCUCCCUCUCGACCUGCUCACCGAAAUGGAGUACCUGUUCGACACCAAGAAAGCACAACGUCGCGACAGCUUCCCCAACAGCUCGCGCAACUCAGAUAUUAGUCUUGCGGACAAAGCAUCGUGUGGCUCUGAUUCUGAUCUCAUUAAACUGGACGAUUCGCCGACAAACCUAGAAGAUUUCGAUCCACUCAAGUGUCGUGAUAAAAAUCAGAAAGUCGAACAAAUAAAGUCUACAGAUAGUGCUCUCUUACAUGAAUAU
rnacentral:misc_RNA from 1 species